rnacentral:lncRNA from 1 species
CUGCCUGCAAGAUCUGUGAGCUGAUGGAGGUGACCUAGGACCAGCUUCCCUCUGGCUGCAGCUGCCUAUUUCAUUACUUUGAAGGGAUCUCCCUUUCCCACAAAGGCACCACUGUCUCUACAAAGCACUCUGGUUGCUUUAAUCUGUAAUAUCAGCAAUAAUCACCGUGGUAUUGUUGCCUAGGCAUUCUUGAAGAGUCAGAAGUGGACUGUAAUUGAAGAGUUCAUUACCAAGAUCAGUUGGCUCCUUGAUUACAGUGGCAAGGUGAAAUAUAUAUCCUCACCAAAAAGCAACUGCUAAACCUUUAGAGAAGUCACCCACUUUUCACUCUUUUUCAUUAGGACCCCGACAAGCUUGUCAGCAAAAUUAAAGGUAUGUCAUUCACAUCGUGCAUGCAUUGCAAAGGACUAUAAACCUGCCAACCUCUUUGAUGAAAUAAA